GGGAGCAGGCUGGCCCAGGGAACACCACCAUGGGUAUCAGAUCUGCUCUUGGGCAAGUUUUCCUUGGAGUUAAACCAGAACAGCAAGAGGAAAACACUGAUUCCAGGAUCCAACUACAAGAUGAGGAAACGUGAUACUUGGAGAUGUGAAAUGACUUUCCCAGGACCACACAGCAGCAAGAAGCUGAACCAGGAGGCUUAGAGCCGGGAUGUGACUCUGCAGGCGAGGCUAUCCCUCCCUCUGCCCUGCCAGUCUUCAUGACUAGAGGGGCCACAUGGGUGAGAGGAGAAGCCAUGACAACUGGCAGCCAGAAGUGGUGCUGGGUGAGGGCAGAGGAGGGAGUCACUUGCUGAAGCCUUCUGCAAGGAGGGCCAGAGCCCAUCUCCUGAAGAGUGUCACUGGGCUGGGAGAGGCUCUGCCUCAAGGUACCCCCUUCUCUGUGAAGAAUCACUUGAACACUUCAAGGCAGAGAUUUCUUCCUCACAAUCCAUCCAGGGAGAGUUUGAAGGAGUCCCCAGCCACUGGAAGGUGGGACAAAACUCAGCUCUUCAAGAAAUCUGGCAGGAUUCGAGUCUUUCUGGAUUUUUUCUAACACCUAUGGGAAUAAUAGGCCCUGUUCUCAGCUCUGUGGGGAAUUCGAAGACUGGGGUUCAGUCCCGAGACUUGGGAAGCUAGUCCUGGAAAGAGAGGUAAGAUUUCAACAGGCGAUGAAGGAAGUGGGAAGAUCAUUUUGACAGAAGAGUGGAGACGGUUGAUGUGAACCCAUCAUGGUCCAAGAGUGUAGGAGGCAAGGUAUGAGGAGACCACCAGGUCAGAGAGAGGGCUUUUCAUUAAGGGACAAGCAGAAAACAGGAAAAGAAAAGCAGUGGGGACCAGACGGAUUGUGAGGCCAUGGAUGGGAGCCUUCACAGCCCCCUGCAGAGGGAUCAUGAAGUCCAUUGCAGGAUCCCUUCUUCCCACUUUCUUACAGGCUCACAUGGGUCAACCC